rnacentral:lncRNA from 1 species
CCGGUUAGGGCAAGGGUCCCCGAGAUCAUCGGGUCAGGCCUUGGGCCAACGUAGGCACUCUCGCAGUUCCUCCGCCUUCAGGAAGGUCUUUUUGGCAGGGGCCUUACGGGUGCGCGCUUCGGUCCUGGAGGCGUUAUCCUAGCCUCCUCUCCAUCAGCGCCACCCGUCUGGGGCCCGAUAGGAGGGAGAUUUCCCUCUGUCCCCCAGCCUUUGGACUGUCACCAAACAAGCCAUUCGUUCACCAAAUACUUAUUAAGCGCCUACCAUGUGUCUGGCAAGGGAGAUGUAACAGUGAGAAAAACUAGGUGUGGUCCAGGCCCUCCAGGGGCUCAGGGGCUCGUGGAAGAAGUAGACAUUGAAGUACUUAUCACACAAAUGAGUAUAAAAGUACAAUAGCGAUAUCUGCCACGAAGGCGAGCAGACAGAGCUAGCGGGGCUUGCAGGAGGAGUUUUGAUCUUGCAGGGAUAGGAAGGAGGACUUAGUUCCUGCGGGGUGGGCUUGGGGGUGGUGGUGAUAGAGACGUGGGGACAGAGUGGAAAACAACAAAAAUAUAAUUAUUUUAGUUCAAAGUUAUUGUGUCUUGAGUUGAAAGGCAGGGCAGUUAGCAACACAGUUCAGAUUUCAGUACUGCCCCUGAAAUCUGAACUGUGUUCAAAGUCUAAAACGUUUACCUUAGCAAAUCCCUCAUAAAACUCCAUUUGGAAGAGUCCCGAGAGCGAAUUUGUUAAGUAUACUUGCAAAAGGUAGAUGAGGAGACAGAUAAAAUCUUAUUACCUCUUUCAGAUGAGAGGCACUUGAGCCCUGCUCAGCUAUGAGAAUAAGAGAGGGGAAUUAAUUCUAAUUGAAUACACUUGUUCUCUUAUAGCUGUUGUUCCACACCAGAACCAAAUGAACGCAAGAUCUGACAAAGAAAAAAAGAGGUUCAUCUUUUAUUCCCCCAAACCCUUUCAUUUAAAUCAAGAGGGUGGGAUGUGGUUAUUGCUGUGUUUUUAGGCAGAAUCAACGGUUUCUGGGUCUGAGAUGUUGCAUACACCCUCUCAGUCCCUGUAUCCUGAGAUGGAGUCACCUGAGAAUCCACAGCAAGUCCUAACCAGGGAUGGGUCUGGGUGAUUAAGGAAGGUUGGCUUCAGAACUGGGCCAGGGGCACUGCUUUGCUUUUGCUGUUUUGAUCAGCUCUCUGCCUGCAGGAGACAAGGAAAACCAAUGGGAACAGCUGGGGAAACUGAAUUACAGAGCUUUUCUGCACUGAAUCAUCAGGAGCAAAUGCUAGAUCAGAUAGGGUCUCUCUCUCUGCCACUCAGGCCACAGUGCAGUUGACGCAGGGCAGGGGAGCCCCGAAGUGGAGCAUAGUGUGUCCAGAACUGGUGGGUUCUUGG